CUUGCUUCUCUUGAGAGCGGCGGACGGGUGAGUAAUGCCUAGGAAUCUGCCUGGUAGUGGGGGAUAACGUCCGGAAACGGACGCUAAUACCGCAUACGUCCUACGGGAGAAAGCAGGGGACCUUCGGGCCUUGCGCUAUCAGAUGAGCCUAGGUCGGAUUAGCUAGUUGGUGGGGUAAUGGCUCACCAAGGCGACGAUCCGUAACUGGUCUGAGAGGAUGAUCAGUCACACUGGAACUGAGACACGGUCCAGACUCCUACGGGAGGCAGCAGUGGGGAAUAUUGGACAAUGGGCGAAAGCCUGAUCCAGCCAUGCCGCGUGUGUGAAGAAGGUCUUCGGAUUGUAAAGCACUUUAAGUUGGGAGGAAGGGCAGUAAAUUAAUACUUUGCUGUUUUGACGUUACCGACAGAAUAAGCACCGGCUAACUCUGUGCCAGCAGCCGCGGUAAUACAGAGGGUGCAAGCGUUAAUCGGAAUUACUGGGCGUAAAGCGCGCGUAGGUGGUUCGUUAAGUUGGAUGUGAAAUCCCCGGGCUCAACCUGGGAACUGCAUUCAAAACUGACGAGCUAGGGUAUGGUAGAGGGUGGUGGAAUUUCCUGUGUAGCGGUGAAAUGCGUAGAUAUAGGAAGGAACACCAGUGGC
rnacentral:rRNA from 1 species